rnacentral:rRNA from 1 species
CCUACGGGAGGCAGCAGUGGGGAAUAUUGGGCAAUGGAGGAAACUCUGACCCAGCGACGCCGCGUGCGGGAGGAAGGCCUUCGGGUUGUAAAGCUCUUUUGUCAGGGAAGAAACAGCAGCUCUAACACAGUCUGCGAAUGACGGUACCUGAAGAAUAAGCACCGGCUAACUACGUGCCAGCAGCCGCGGUAAUACGUAGGGUGCGAGCGUUAAUCGGAAUUACUGGGCGUAAAGCGUGCGCAGGCGGUUAUACAAGACAGGCGUGAAAUCCCCGGGCUUAACCUGGGAGUGGCGUCUGUGACUGUAUAGCUAGAGUGUGUCAGAGGGGGGUGGAAUUCCACGUGUAGCAGUGAAAUGCGUAGAUAUGUGGAGGAACACCAAUGGCGAAGGCAGCCCCCUGGGAUAACACUGACGCUCAUGCACGAAAGCGUGGGGAGCAAACAGGAUUAGAUACCCUGGUAGUCCACGCCCUAAACGAUGCUGACUAGUUGUUGGGAAUUUACAUUCUCAGUAACGUAGCUAACGCGUGAAGUCAGCCGCCUGGGGAGUACGGUCGCAAGAUUAAAACUCAAAGGAAUUGACGG